rnacentral:rRNA from 1 species
ACCACCGCAUGUGUAGAAUGUCUUACUAUUUGCGAUAACACGCAAUCAAUACAACUUUCAACAACGGAUCUCUUGGCUCUCGCAUCGAUGAAGAACGCAGCGAAAUGCGAUACGUAAUGUGAAUUGCAGAAUUCAGUGAAUCAUCGAAUCUUUGAACGCACCUUGCGCCCCUUGGAAUUCCGAGGGGCACACCCGUUUGAGUGUCGUGAACAUCCUUCAACCUUUCUUGGUUUCUUGACCGGGGAAGGCUUGGACUUUGGGGGUUUUUCAUUGCUGGCCUCCCUUGAAGCCAGCUCCUCCUAAAUGGAUUAGUGGGGUCUGCUUUGCCGAUCCUUGACGUGAUAAGAUGUUUCUACGUCUUGGGUUUCGCACUGUCGCUUCAGACCCCGCUUCAAACAGUCUUGCAUCUAAGACAGAGUUUUAUAAACCUUGACCUCAAAUCGGGUGAGACUACCCGCUGAACUUAAGCAUAUCAAUAAGCGG